rnacentral:misc_RNA from 1 species
UACGUAGGAUCCAAGCGUUGUCCGGAUUUACUGGGCGUAAAGGGUGUGUAGGCGGCACAGCAAGUCUCAUGUGAAAUCUCCCGGCUCAACUGGGAGGGGUCAUGGGAAACUGCUGAGCUAGAGGGCAGUAGAGGAGAGCGGAAUUCCGGGAGUAGUGGUGAAAUGCGUAGAUACCCGGAGGAACACCCGUGGCGAAAGCGGCUCUCUGGGCUGUCCCUGACGCUGAGACACGAAAGCGUGGGGAGCAAACCGG